CCCAGGACUGUAGACACAAGAAGAUUAUAGGUUUUCCUGUUUUCUCUUUCCUUUCCUUUUUCUCUUCCCUUUUCCCUGGAAUGUGCUGCCAACACUUGACGAGUCCUGAAGACUCCACGACGACACCAUGGAACCCUGCUGAUGAAGAUCUUUCGAGGGCAAUCGUCAGUCACGGGGUGGUGUAAGAGCCCGUCUGAAGCCCCUCAUUUUCCAUUCUGCCUUCCGAUUGCCACGAGAAAGAAUCCCUUCCUCCACUGCAGUUCCGGCUUAGAACAGGACACAGUGCAGGUGCAACCACUGAACCGUCAUGCUAGCUGUUCCGAACAAGGCCUGGCAAGAACUUGGCAAGGACUUGGCAAGGACCUGACGUGGACUCAGCACGGGACAGCCUGAUGCGCGGCCUGCUUCUAAUCUCCGUUCUUAAGCCAAAUGAACUUUUGGGGUGACUCCCGGGGUCCUUCAUUGAAGACCCCUCAUCUGCCUCGUUACCACUGUGACAAACAAAGAAUGAGAACCCUCCUCCCAAGGACUGAGACUGAGACCCCUGCUAUAGGGAGGAGGGGAAAUUGGUGGUCUGACCACUAAUGACAUGACCUGUUUCCCUUCAGUGAUUCAAAUGGACUCAUUCUUCAUUGGAUUCGUCUUGCUUUGGUGGUUUCUGUGGACUCAGCUGUUCCCGCGUGGCGAUUACAAUGGACUUUCGUUGUUCCACUUGCUCCCCCCUCUUUCCUCUGUGGACUAUAACUGGAGCCCCGAGUCGACCAGAACUUCGGAGACUCCCCCGACACGACAGACAGAACCCCAUCAUCCGGACCACUGAGGAUCGCGCCUGUGUUGGUAGCUAUUCCCAUACCCCUCUUCUCUCUCUCUCUCUCCUUUUAUCUCCUUUCCGAUCCCCACUAUCGCAUUUACUGGUUUGGCCCCUAAUAAAGGUGCAUUUGUUGUGAUUAA